AGGCCCCGGCCAGGGGAGCAGGGGGCGGGGAGGCAGCUUCUUUGGCCGUCUGCCGAUGUUUGGAGCUGGCGGGAUUGGGAGGUGCUUGGAUGGGCUCCAGGAAUCCCAGUGUUAGGGAGGAGCGAGAGUUCAAGUUCCCUGUGUUGGGAUCCUCGCUCUGCCUUUUCGUAGCGCUCCCGGGUUGGGGUGAAAGAGAAGCAGUCACCUGAGAACAGAAAAGCGCGAAAGAAGAAGGCAACUUCUCCGGGAGCUGAAGAGAGUGACACCAAGCCAGGGCCUUCCUGGGGGAAGACUCCCUCUUCUGGUGACCCCAAACCCCUUCAUCUGUUGACCCUGAUGCAAUCAGACCAACUGUUCAGACCUCUGGCCACAAGACCUGACAUAGGAAACAGUGAUUACAGGGAAACUAGCUCAUGCAUCCAUUGGCUAAGGCAAAGCAUUUAUGGCUGAAACCUCAAAAGCACAGGCAACAAACACAAAAACAGACAAACAGAACUUCAUUACACUAAGAAGAUUCUGCACAGCAAAAUAAAUAAUCAACAGAGUGAAAAGACAAUCUGCAGAAUAGGAGGAAAAGUAGUUCUGCAUUUGAAUGAGUCACACAGAUGAAGUAGAACAGAAGUGGAGUGGCAUGUUGCUACACACUCUUUAAUCAUCAGAGACUUUCACUCAUUCUCCCAUUGUCAUUUCUCACUAAAUUUCCUUGAUUUUUGACAUUCUCCAAUUCUGUGGGUGGGAAAAGAGACAAUAUUUCAAUGAAAACGCUAUUCUUACAUUGUCACCCUUUACAGACAAUAUACCUCUCUUCCCUAAUUUGUCAUCACUAAACACUAGAUCUUCCCAAGUUACAAAUUUUUUUCUCCUUUUUUAUUAUAAAAAACAUAUAA